rfam:Schistosoma curassoni strain Dakar, Senegal genome assembly, scaffold: SCTD_scaffold0004563
AUCCAGCUGACGAGUCCCAAAUAGGAUGAAACGUGCAUCCUGGAU